rnacentral:rRNA from 1 species
UACAGAGGGUGCAAACGUUGUUCGGAUUUACUGGGCGUAAAGCGUGUGUAGGCGGCUUGGCAAGUUGGAUGUGAAAUCCCGCGGCUCAACCGUGGACGUGCAUCCAAAAACUGUUUCGCUAGAGUCUCGGAGAGGAAGGUGGAAUGCUUGGUGUAGAGGUGGAAUUCGUAGAUAUCAAGCAGAACACCUGCGGCGAAGGCGGCCUUCUGGACGAUGACUGACGCUGAGACACGAAAGCGUGGGGGAGCAAACAGG